rnacentral:rRNA from 1 species
UAGUGGCGAACGGGUGAGUAACACGUGGGCAAUCUGCCCUUCACUCUGGGACAAGCCCUGGAAACGGGGUCUAAUACCGGAUAACACUCUGUCCCGCAUGGGACGGGGUUGAAAGCUCCGGCGGUGAAGGAUGAGCCCGCGGCCUAUCAGCUUGUUGGUGGGGUGAUGGCCUACCAAGGCGACGACGGGUAGCCGGCCUGAGAGGGCGACCGGCCACACUGGGACUGAGACACGGCCCAGACUCCUACGGGAGGCAGCAGUGGGGAAUAUUGCACAAUGGGCGAAAGCCUGAUGCAGCGACGCCGCGUGAGGGAUGACGGCCUUCGGGUUGUAAACCUCUUUCAGCAGGGAAGAAGCGAAAGUGACGGUACCUGCAGAAGAAGCGCCGGCUAACUACGUGCCAGCAGCCGCGGUAAUACGUAGGGCGCAAGCGUUGUCCGGAAUUAUUGGGCGUAAAGAGCUCGUAGGCGGCUUGUUGCGUCGGUUGUGAAAGCCCGGGNCUNAACCCCGGGUCUGCAGNCGAUACGGGCAGGCUAGAGUGUGGUAGGGGAGAUCGGAAUUCCU